rnacentral:SRP_RNA from 1 species
GUCGAGCUUAGCAACGCAAGCUUGUAACCCGAGUGGGGACAUUAAGGUGUUGGGACGCUGGUUCUGUCUUAAGCCGGCCGGGUCCGAUGUGGCUCUUUUCUGGCCCGCCCAUUCCAAGCUGGGAGUUGGGCCGUGGAGCUUGGGCGAAGGCCUGGGCUCCCUGGUUCCUAGAGUGGAGAGCACCGCGUAAGGCUGGCUUCACAGAGCAACGAUCAUUUCCCGCUCUCGGCGGUGGAAGGAUAACAGGUCGGUGCCACUUGGAUCCAUCAUGGCCCGCUAGGCAGUCCCGAUUGAACCAACACGUUUUUU